AGAGCGAACGCUGGCGGCAGGCCUAACACAUGCAAGUCGAGCGCCCGUAGCAAUACGGGAGCGGCAGACGGGAUAGUAACACGUGGGAACGCGCCCUUCGGUUCGGAAUAACUCAGGGAAACUUGAGCUAAUACCGGAUACGCCCUUACGGGGAAAGAUUUAUUGCCGAAGGAACGGCCCGCGUCCGAUUAGCUAGUUGGUGAGGUAAUGGCUCACCAAGGCGACGAUCGGUAGCUGGUCUGAGAGGAUGACCAGCAUCACUGGGACUGAGACACGGCCCAGACUCCUACGGGAGGCAGCAGUGGGGAAUAUUGGACAAUGGGCGCAAGCCUGAUCCAGCCAUGCCGCGUGGAUGAUGAAGGCCUUAUGGUUGUAAAGUCCUUUUAACGGGGAAGAUAAUGACGGUACCCGUAGAAUAAGCCCGGCUAACUUCGCGCCAGCAGCCGC
rnacentral:rRNA from 1 species